UACGUAGGGGGCAAGCGUUGUCCGGAUUUAUUGGGCGUAAAGAGCGUGUAGGCGGCCAUGUAGGUCCGUUGUGAAAACUCGAGCUCAACCUCGAGACGCCGAUGGAAACCCCUAGCGUAGAGUCCGGAAGAGGAGAGUGGAAUUCCUGGUGUAGCGGUGAAAUGCGCAGAUAUCAGGAAGAACACCCGUGGCUAAGGCGGCUCUCUAGUACGGUACUGACGCUGAGACGCGAAAGCGUGGGGGAGCGAACAGG
rnacentral:rRNA from 1 species